AAUGAACGCUGGCGGCGUGCCUAACACAUGCAAGUCGAGCGAGAAAAUCCCUUUCGGGGGAUGAGUAAAGCGGCGCACGGGUGAGUAACGCGUGGGUAACCUACCCUAGAGUGGGGGAUAACCCGCCGAAAGGUGGACUAAUCCCGCAUACGUCCAGCAGGCAUAAGCCUGUUGGGGAAAGAUGGCCUCUGCUUGCAAGCUAUUGCUCUUGGAUGGGCCCGCGUUGGAUUAGCUAGUUGGUGAGGUAAUAGCUCACCAAGGCAACGAUCUAUAGCUGGUUUGAGAGGACGAUCAGCCACACUGGAACUGAGACACGGUCCAGACUCCUACGGGAGGCU
rnacentral:rRNA from 1 species